rnacentral:rRNA from 1 species
AACGAACGCUGGCGGCAUGCCUAACACAUGCAAGUCGAACGAAGUCUUCGGACUUAGUGGCGCACGGGUGCGUAACGCGUGGGAAUCUGCCCUUGGGUUCGGAAUAACAGUGAGAAAUUACUGCUAAUACCGGAUGAUGACUUCGGUCCAAAGAUUUAUCGCCCAAGGAUGAGCCCGCGUAAGAUUAGCUAGUUGGUGAGGUAAAGGCUCACCAAGGCGACGAUCUUUAGCUGGUCUGAGAGGAUGAUCAGCCACACUGGGACUGAGACACGGCCCAGACUCCUACGGGAGGCAGCAGUGGGGAAUAUUGGACAAUGGGCGAAAGCCUGAUCCAGCAAUGCCGCGUGAGUGAUGAAGGCCUUAGGGUUGUAAAGCUCUUUUACC